rnacentral:siRNA from 1 species
GAUUCAUGAUGAUGCACAUCCGGC